rnacentral:rRNA from 1 species
UACGAAGGGGGCUAGCGUUGCUCGGAAUUACUGGGCGUAAAGCGCACGUAGGCGGUCUUUUAAGUCGGGGGUGAAAUCCUGGAGCUCAACUCCAGAACUGCCUCGAUACUGGAAGACUCGAGUCCGGGAGAGGUGAGUGGAACUGGCGAGUGUAGAGGUGAAAUUCGUAGAUAUUCGCAAGAACACCAGUGGCGAAGGCGGCUCACUGGCCCGGUACUGACGCUGAGGUGCGAAAGCGUGGGGAGCAAACAGG